rnacentral:rRNA from 1 species
UGUUUCGGCUAGGGGGCCAUCCCGGCUUACCAACCCGAUGCAAACUGCGAAUACCGGAGAAUGUUAUCACGGGAGACACACGGCGGGUGCUAACGUCCGUCGUGAAGAGGGAAACAACCCAGACCGCCAGCUAAGGUCCCAAAGUCAUGGUUAAGUGGGAAACGAUGUGGGAAGGCCCAGACAGCCAGGAUGUUGGCUUAGAAGCAGCCAUCAUUUAAAGAAAGCGUAAUAGCUCACUGGUCGAGUCGGCCUGCGCGGAAGAUGUAACGGGGCUAAACCAUGCACCGAAGCUGCGGCAGCGACGCUGAUGCGUUGUUGGGUAGGGGAGCGUUCUGUAAGCCUGCGAAGGUGGCCUGUGAGGGUUGCUGGAGGUAUCAGAAGUGCGAAUGCUGACAUAAGUAACGAUAAAGCGGGUGAAAAGCCCGCUCGCCGGAAGACCAAGGGUUCCUGUCCAACGUUAAUCGGGGCAGGGUGAGUCGACCCCUAAGGCGAGGCCGAAAGGCGUAGUCGAUGGGAAACGGGUUAAUAUUCCCGUACUUGGUGUUACUGCGAAGGGGGGACGGAGAAGGCUAUGUUGGCCGGGCGACGGUUGUCCCGGUUUAAGCGUGUAGGUGUGUGUUCCAGGUAAAUCCGGUUCACUUUAACACUGAGGCGUGAUGACGAGGCACUACGGUGCUGAAGCAACAAAUGCCCUGCUUCCAGGAAAAGCCUCUAAGCAUCAGGUAACAUCAAAUCGUACCCCAAACCGACACAGGUGGUCAGGUAGAGAAUACCAAGGCGCUUGAGAGAACUCGGGUGAAGGAACUAGGCAAAAUGGUGCCGUAACUUCGGGAGAAGGCACGCUGACACGUAGGUGAAGUGAUUUACUCAUGGAGCUGAAGUCAGUCGAAGAUACCAGCUGGCUGCAACUGUUUAUUAAAAACACAGCACUGUGCAAACACGAAAGUGGACGUAUACGGUGUGACGCCUGCCCGGUGCCGGAAGGUUAAUUGAUGGGGUCAGCGCAAGCGAAGCUCCUGAUCGAAGCCCCGGUAAACGGCGGCCGUAACUAUAACGGUCCUAAGGUAGCGAAAUUCCUUGUCGGGUAAGUUCCGACCUGCACGAAUGGCGUAAUGAUGGCCAGGCUGUCUCCACCCGAGACUCAGUGAAAUUGAACUCGCUGUGAAGAUGCAGUGUACCCGCGGCAAGACGGAAAGACCCCGUGAACCUUUACUAUAGCUUGACACUGAACAUUGAGCCUUGAUGUGUAGGAUAGGUGGGAGGCUUUGAAGUGUGGACGCCAGUCUGCAUGGAGCCGACCUUGAAAUACCACCCUUUAAUGUUUGAUGUUCUAACGUGGACCCGUGAUCCGGGUUGCGGACAGUGUCUGGUGGGUAGUUUGACUGGGGCGGUCUCCUCCUAAAGAGUAACGGAGGAGCACGAAGGUUGGCUAAUCCUGGUCGGACAUCAGGAGGUUAGUGCAAUGGCAUAAGCCAGCUUGACUGCGAGCGUGACGGCGCGAGCAGGUGCGAAAGCAGGUCAUAGUGAUCCGGUGGUUCUGAAUGGAAGGGCCAUCGCUCAACGGAUAAAAGGUACUCCGGGGAUAACAGGCUGAUACCGCCCAAGAGUUCAUAUCGACGGCGGUGUUUGGCACCUCGAUGUCGGCUCAUCACAUCCUGGGGCUGAAGUAGGUCCCAAGGGUAUGGCUGUUCGCCAUUUAAAGUGGUACGCGAGCUGGGUUUAGAACGUCGUGAGACAGUUCGGUCCCUAUCUGCCGUGGGCGCUGGAGAACUGAGGGGGGCUGCUCCUAGUACGAGAGGACCGGAGUGGACGCAUCACUGGUGUUCGGGUUGUCAUGCCAAUGGCACUGCCCGGUAGCUAAAUGCGGAAGAGAUAAGUGCUGAAAGCAUCUAAGCACGAAACUUGCCCCGAGAUGAGUUCUCCCUGAGACUUUAGGUCUCCUGAAGGAACGUUGAAGACGACGACGUUGAUAGGCCGGGUGUGUAAGCGCAGCGAUGCGUUGAGCUAACCGGUACUAAUGAACCGUGAGGCUUAACCUUACAACGCCGAAG